GCCACGGUGGUCUAGCGGUUAGAACGCUGGACUUGUAAUGCUGGGAUCCCGGGUUCGAUUCCCGGCGGUGCUC
rnacentral:tRNA from 1 species